rnacentral:rRNA from 1 species
GGCGGCAUGCCUUACACAGGCAAGUCGAACGGCAGCACGGGGGCAACCCUGGUGGCGAGUGGCGAACGGGUGAGUAAUACAUCGGAACGUGUCCUGUAGUGGGGGAUAGCCCGGCGAAAGCCGGAUUAAUACCGCAUACGAUCUACGGAAGAAAGCGGGGGACCGAAAGGCCUCGCGCUAUAGGGGCGGCCGAUGGCAGAUUAGCUAGUUGGUGGGGUAAAGGCCUACCAAGGCGACGAUCUGUAGCUGGUCUGAGAGGACGACCAGCCACACUGGGACUGAGACACGGCCCAGACUCCUACGGGAGGCAGCAGUGGGGAAUUUUGGACAAUGGGGGAAACCCUGAUCCAGCAAUGCCGCGUGUGUGAAGAAGGCCUUCGGGUUGUAAAGCACUUUUGUCCGGAAAGAAAACUUCUGCAUUAAUACUGCGGGAGGAUGACGGUACCGGAAGAAUAAGCACCGGCUAACUACGUGCCAGCAGCCGCGGUAAUACGUAGGGUGCGAGCGUUAAUCGGAAUUACUGGGCGUAAAGCGUGCGCAGGCGGUUCGUUAAGACAGAUGUGAAAUCCCCGGGCUUAACCUGGGAACUGCAUUUGUGACUGGCGAGC